GACGAACGCUGGCGGCGUGCCUAAUACAUGCAAGUUGAGCGAUGAAGAUUGGUGCUUGCACCAAUUUGAAGAGCAGCGAACGGGUGAGUAACGCGUGGGGAAUCUGCCUUUGAGCGGGGGACAACGUUUGGAAACGAAUGCUAAUACCGCAUAACAACUUUAAACAUAAGUUUUAAGUUUGAAAGAUGCAAUUGCAUCACUCAAAGAUGAUCCCGCGUUGUAUUAGCUAGUUGGUGAGGUAAAGGCUCACCAAGGCGAUGAUACAUAGCCGACCUGAGAGGGUGAUCGGCCACAUUGGGACUGAGACACGGCCCAAACUCCUACGGGAGGCAGCAGUAGGGAAUCUUCGGCAAUGGACGAAAGUCUGACCGAGCAACGCCGCGUGAGUGAAGAAGGUUUUCGGAUCGUAAAACUCUGUUGGUAGAGAAGAACGUUGGUGAGAGUGGAAAGCUCAUCAAGUGACGGUAACUACACAGAAAGGGACGGCUAACUACGUG
rnacentral:rRNA from 1 species